GCUUCCUCUACGUGCUCAUCAGUAAGAGUGAAGGCUCUGUCUAAGGAAGAUGGUGGAUGGCAUCCCAGCACCUGCACUUCAUCACCCGACUGUGGCAGCUUCUGCUAUUAUAUGUAACCUUGCGUUUUUAACUGUAGGGAAAAAGAAGUCACUUGCCCACCUAACAUGCCAGCUAUUGGAAUUGUAAGAACUAACCCCACUCAGGCAUCCCUUCUCUCAGUUAUUUCAAAAGUAAAGCAGGAAGAAAGAAGAACCUGCCUUCCAACUGUAUAGAUACAUGCAGCGUGUGGAAAUGAAGCCACUCCAGGGCAAACGACCCCCAAGAGUUCUCCGGAAGAUGGAAUUCUUCCCAAUUUUG
rnacentral:lncRNA from 1 species